rnacentral:rRNA from 1 species
GAUGAACGCUGGCGGCGUGCCUAAUACAUGCAAGUCGAGCGAACGGACGAGAAGCUUGCUUCUCUGAUGUUAGCGGCGGACGGGUGAGUAACACGUGGAUAACCUACCUAUAAGACUGGGAUAACUUCGGGAAACCGUAGCUAAUACCGGAUAAUAUUUUUAACCGCAUGGUUCAAAAGUGAAAGACGGUCUUGCUGUCACUUAUAGAUGGAUCCGCGCUGCAUUAGCUAGUUGGUAAGGUAACGGCUUACCAAGGCAACGAUGCAUAGCCGACCUGAGAGGGUGAUCGGCCACACUGGAACUGAGACACGGUCCAGACUCCUACGGGAGGCAGCAGUAGGGAAUCUUCCGCAAUGGGCGAAAGCCUGACGGAGCAACGCCGCGUGAGUGAUGAAGGUCUUCGGAUCGUAAAACUCUGUUAUUAGGGAAGAACAUAUGUGUAAGUAACUGUGCACAUCUUGACGGUACCUAAUCAGAAAGCCACGGCUAACUACGUG